AUGAACGCUAGCGACAGGCCUAACACAUGCAAGUCAGGGCAGCACAAGGAGCAAUCUGAGGUGGCGACCGGCGCACGGGUGAGUAACACGUAUGCAACCUGCCUGUAAGCGGGGAAUAACCCGUUGAAAGACGGACUAAUACCGCAUAAUACUAAAUUACUGCAUGGUAAUUUAUUUAAACAUUUAUGGCUUACAGAUGGGCAUGCGCAUGAUUAGCUAGUUGGAGAGGUAACGGCUCCCCAAGGCAACGAUCAUUAGGGGUUCUGAGAGGAGGGUCCCCCACACUGGUACUGAGACACGGACCAGACUCCUACGGGAGGCAGCAGUGAGGAAUAUUGGUCAAUGGACGAGAGUCUGAACCAGCCAAGUCGCGUGCAGGAAGAAUGUCCUAUGGAUUGUAAACUGCUUUUGCAGGGGAAUAAAGUGCAUCACGUGUGAUGUUUUGUAUGUACUCUGCGAAUAAGGAUCGGCUAACUCCGUGCCAGCAGCUGC
rnacentral:rRNA from 1 species